rnacentral:rRNA from 1 species
UACGGUAGGGUGCGAGCGUUAAUCGGAAUUACUGGGCGUAAAGCGUGCGCAGGCGGUUUUGUAAGCCAGAUGUGAAAUCCCCGGGCUUAACCUGGGAAUGGCAUUUGGGACUGCAAGGCUGGAGUUUGGCAGAGGAGACUGGAAUUCCUGGUGUAGCGGUGAAAUGCGCAGAUAUCAGGAAGAACACCAAUGGCGAAGGCAGCUCUCGUGGGACGGUACUGACGCUGAGACGCGAAAGCGUGGGGGAGCGAACAGG